GCUCCUGUCCCACCCCCUCUACUCGGCGUCCGGGUGCUGGGUCAAGACGUGUGUGGGUGUUGGGAGGUGGAUAUCUCUUUUCCGAGCCGUAGGCGUCACCCCUACGCCCAGGCCCAGGCCCAGUGCUGGAUCCUGCACUUUCCCAACCUCCCCCUCCCAAGUUACAAGGUUGCCCUCUGUUCCCCUCCCGAGCGCAGGUGACGAGCUGCUGAGACAGUGUCUGAUUCACCGACAGCUGAACCAGCUACUGGUACUUGGGGUGAACAAACCAGCAGACCAAUUCAGAGUCCAUUUCAGUGGUGCAGGUGAGAGGUAUUAGAGACCUGGACAAGGUGGUGGCAGAUGAAGAUGGAGAGAACAGAGAUAGGAUCUCGCUAUGUUGCCCAGGCUGACCUCCUGCCUUAUGCAACACCUCACCAAGCUUAACAGAAAAUGCAGUUUGAACAUAACGAUAACAGAUGUAAUUUGUCAACCACCAGCUAUGAGCCAGACACAGCUGGUCAUUUACUUAUAACAUGGAUUCAGAAGACCCUGCUUACCAUUUUUCCAAUCAUCAUUACAUACGGGCCCAAAUACUUGUUCACGCCGAAGA